AUUGAACGCUGGCGGCAGGCCUAACACAUGCAAGUCGAACGAGUGGCGGACGGGUGAGGAAUGUCUGGGAGACUGCCCGAUGGAGGGGGAUAACUACUGGAAACGGUGGCGAAUACCGCAUACCAUCGGAUGUGCCCAGAUGGGGUUGGCUUGUAGGUGGGGUAACGGCUCACCUAGGCGAAGAUCCCUAGCUGGUGUGAGAGGAUGACCAGCCACACUGGAACUGAGACACGGUCCAGACUCCUACGGGAGGCAGCAGUGGGGAAUAUGGCACAAUGGGCGCAAGCCUGAUGCAGCCAUGCCGCGUGUAUGAAGAAGGCCUUCGGGUUGUAAAGUACGUGCAGCGGGGAGGCGGUACCCGCAGAAGAAGCACCGGCUAACUCCGUGCCAGCAGCCGCGGUAAUAC
rnacentral:rRNA from 1 species